UACGUAGGGUGCGAGCGUUGUCCGGAAUUAUUGGGCGUAAAGAGCUCGUAGGCGGUUUGUCGCGUCGAAUGUGAAAACCCGGGGCUCAACCCCGGGCCUGCAUUCGAUACGGGCAGACUAGAGUUCGGUAGGGGAGUCUGGAAUUCCUGGUGUAGCGGUGAAAUGCGCAGAUAUCAGGAGGAACACCGGUGGCGAAGGCGGGACUCUGGGCCGAUACUGACGCUGAGGAGCGAAAGCGUGGGGAGCAAACAGG
rnacentral:rRNA from 1 species